UACAGAGGUCCCAAGCGUUGUUCGGAUUCAUUGGGCGUAAAGGGUGCGUAGGCGGCGCGGUAAGUCGGGUGUGAAAUCUCGGAGCUUAACUCCGAAACUGCAUUCGAUACUGCCGUGCUUGAGGACUGGAGAGGAGACUGGAAUUUACGGUGUAGCGGUGAAAUGCGUAGAUAUCGUAAGGAAGACCAGUGGCGAAGGGCGGGGUCUCUGGACAGUUCCUGACGCUGAGGCACGAAGGCCAGGGGGAGCAAACAGG
rnacentral:rRNA from 1 species